GGAGUAUUGGACAAUGGGCGCAAGCCUGAUCCAGCCAUGCCGCGUGAGUGAAGAAGGCCUUAGGGUUGUAAAUCUCUUUCGGCGGGGAAGAUAAUGACGGUACCCGCCGAAGAAGCCCCGGCUAACUCCGUGCCAGCAGCCGCGGUAAUACGGAGGGGGCUAGCGUUGUUCGGAAUUACUGGGCGUAAAGCGCACGUAGGCGGCUUUUUAAGUCAGGGGUGAAAUCCCGGGGCUCAACCCCGGAACUGCCCUUGAAACUGGGAAGCUAGAAUCUUGGAGAGGCGAGUGGAAUUCCGAGUGUAGAGGUGAAAUUCGUAGAUAUUCGGAAGAACACCAGUAGCGAAGGCGACUCGCUGGACAAGUAUUGACGCUGAGGUGCGAAAGCGUGGGGAGCAAAC
rnacentral:rRNA from 1 species